CAUCGAUGUCGGCCUUGGGCAGGCUCACAUCCACAUCUGGACCUUCUCCUUUGAAGCCAGGCAUGCUGAAUUUGGGCAUUUUCACCUUGGGCAUCUUCAGGUGCCAGUCUGGGCCAUGAACAUCUACAUCAGGGGCAUCGAUGUCCACUUUGGGGCCCUUGAUGUCAACUUCUGGGCCCUUGAGGUCACCUUCCACUUUAGGAAGGGAAACAUCCACAUCACCCUUCACCUUGGGACCUUUCAGAUGCAAAUCAAAGUCAGGCAUGGAGAUCUUGGGGGCUUUGAUGUUCAUCUCAGGCAUCUUGAAUUUAGGGCCCUUUAGUUUCGCAUCUGGACCUUCGAUAUUCACAUCAGGAACAUCAAUGUCCACCUUGGGUCCUGAGACGUCAAGGUCAGCCUUGGGCAGGUUCACAUCCACAUCUGGGCCCUCUCCUUUGAAGCCAGGCAUGCUGAAUUUGGGCAUUUUCACUUUGGGCAUUUUUAGGUGCCAGUCUGGGCCUUGAACCUCCACAUCUGGGACAUCAAUGUCCAUUUUGGCACUUUUAAGUUCAACAUCAGGAACUUUAAUCUCACUUUCAACCUUU
rnacentral:lncRNA from 1 species